UCGCUCCUACCGAUUUCGAGUGAUCCGGUGAACAUUUUGGACUGUAUGGGGUUUCGUGCCUUGUGCGGAAAAUCAAGUAAACCACAUCACUUAGAGGAAGGAG
rnacentral:rRNA from 1 species